CCUACGUGAGGCAGCAGUGGGGAAUAUUGCGCAAUGGGCGAAAGCCUGACGCAGCGACGCCGCGUGAGUGAUGAAGGUCUUCGGAUCGUAAACCUCUGUCAGCAGGGAAGAACGGUCACUGUGCUAAUCAUCAGUGACUUGACGGUACCUGCACAGGAAGCACCGGCUAACUCCGUGCCAGCAGCCGCGGUAAUACGGAGGUGGCGAGCGUUAUUCGGAAUUACUGGGCGUAAAGCGCUCGUAGGCGGUAUGUCAAGUCAAGGGUGAAAGCCCCGCGCUCAACGUGGGAAUUGCCUUUGAAACUGGCAAACUGGAGUGUGGGAGAGGAUAGUGGAAGUCCAGGUGUAGGAGUGAAAUGCGUAGAGAGAUGGAGGAACAUCAGUGGCGAAGGCGACUAUCUGGCACAUAACUGACGCUGAGGAGCGAAAGCGUGGGUAGUAAACAGGAUUAGAUACCCUAGUAGUC
rnacentral:rRNA from 1 species